rnacentral:tRNA from 1 species
UGCCCGUUGGUCAAGUGGUUAAGACACCGCCCUUUCACGGCGGUAACAUGGGUUCAAAUCCCGUACGGGUCA